GUAUGAUUUGGAAUUUCUCGUUAUUGGUGUUCUGCUGUUAAGAUCCAUCCAAUCAUUUUAACAUACCAUAGACAAUUAAUGGAGAGAGUUCGGCAUAAAAAAUGUAAAACCCUGACACUUUCACUAUAAAAUAUACAUGCUCCAAAUCAGGAACCGUUACAUUAGUGCAUUACAUAUUUAUUUUAUGUUUUUGGGCAAAAAUAAGGUCCAAAUUUUUUUCAUUCUCCACCCCCUCUUUCAAAUAUCCUGGAAACGCUCCUAAACAUACACAGACAACAGACUGACCCAACUUAAGGAUAGACUACAGCAAGGACAGAUCAACGUAUAUCACUACACUGAUGCAGUAUCCCACCUACUUAAACUAGGAUGAAGAUCUACUGAACAUUCCUUUAGUGUGUGCUAUGGAUAUUUCUG
rnacentral:lncRNA from 1 species